rnacentral:rRNA from 1 species
UUGCCUCAGUAACGGCGAGUGAAGCGGCAAUAGCUCAAAUUUGAAAUCUGGCUUCGGCCCGAGUUGUAAUUUGUAGAGGAUGCUUCGGCUUACGUACCGGUCUAAGUUCCUUGGAACAGGACGUCACAGAGGGUGAGAAUCCCGUUUGUGGCCGGCACUUCCGCCAUGUGAAGCUCCUUCGACGAGUCGAGUUGUUUGGGAAUGCAGCUCUAAAUGGGAGGUAAAUUUCUUCUAAAGCUAAAUACCGGCCAGAGACCGAUAGCGCACAAGUAGAGUGAUCGAAAGAUGAAAAGCACUUUGGAAAGAGAGUUAAAAAGUACGUGAAAUUGUUGAAAGGGAAGCGCUUGCGACCAGACUUGCCCGCGGAUGCUCAACCGGUCCUUCGGCCGGUGCACUCUUCCGCGGUCAGGCCAGCAUCAGUUCGGGCGGUCGGAUAAAGGCCUUGGGAAUGUGGCUCUCUUCGGGGAGUGUUAUAGCCCUUGGUGCAAUACGGCCCGCCUGGACUGAGGCCCGCGCUUCGGCUAGGAUGCUGGCGUAAUGGUCGUAAGCGGCCCGUCUUGAAACACGGACCAAGGAGUCUAACAUCUAUGCGAGUGUUUGGGUGUCAAACCCGUGCGCGAAAUGAAAGUGAACGGAGGUGGGAACCUUAGGGUGCACCAUCGACCGAUCCUGAUGUCUUCGGAUGGAUUUGAGUAAGAGCAUAGCUGUUGGGACCCGAAAGAUGGUGAACUAUGCCUGAAUAGGGUGAAGCCAGAGGAAACUCUGGUGGAGGCUCGCAGCGGUUCUGACGUGCAAAUCGAUCGUCAAAUUUGGGUAUAGGG